GACGAACGCUGGCGGCGUGCUUAACACAUGCGAGUCGAACGGAAAGGCCCUGCUUUUGUGGGGUGCUCGAGUGGCGAACGGGUGAGUAACACGUGAGUAACCUGCCCUUGACUUUGGGAUAACUUCAGGAAACUGGGGCUAAUACCGGAUAGGAGCUCCUGCUGCAUGGUGGGGGUUGGAAAGUUUCGGCGGUUGGGGAUGGACUCGCGGCUUAUCAGCUUGUUGGUGGGGUAGUGGCUUACCAAGGCUUUGACGGGUAGCCGGCCUGAGAGGGUGACCGGCAACAUUGGGACUGAGAUACGGCCCAGACUCCUACGGGAGGCAGCAGUGGGGAAUAUUGCACAAUGGGCGGAAGCCUGAUGCAGCAACGCCGCGUGCGGGAUGACGGCCUUCGGGUUGUAAACCGAUUUCGCCUGUGACGAAGCGUGAGUGACGGUAAUGGGUAAAGAAGCACCGGCUAACUACGUG
rnacentral:rRNA from 1 species